UACGUAGGGUGCGAGCGUUAAUCGGAAUUACUGGGGACGUAAGCGUGCGCAGGCGUCUGUUAAGACCGAUGUGAAAUCCCCGGGCUCAACCUGGGAAUGGCAUUCGGGACUGCAAGGCUGGAGUGCGGCAGAGGAGACUGGAAUUCCUGGUGUAGCAGUGAAAUGCGUAGAUAUCAGGAGGAACACCGAUGGCGAAGGCAGGUCUCUGGGCUGACACUGACGCUCAUGCACGAAAGCGUGGGGAGCAAACAGG
rnacentral:rRNA from 1 species